rnacentral:rRNA from 1 species
GUGGGGAAUAUUGGACAAUGGGGGCAACCCUGAUCCAGCAAUGCCGCGUGUGUGAAGAAGGUCUUCGGAUUGUAAAGCACUUUCGACGGGGACGAUGAUGACGGUACCCGUAGAAGAAGCCCCGGCUAACUUCGUGCCAGCAGCCGCGGUAAUACGAAGGGGGCUAGCGUUGCUCGGAAUGACUGGGCGUAAAGGGCGUGUAGGCGGUUUACACAGUCAGAUGUGAAAUCCCCGGGCUUAACCUGGGAGCUGCAUUUGAUACGUGUAGACUAGAGUGUGAGAGAGGGUUGUGGAAUU